rnacentral:ribozyme from 1 species
ACAGUAACUCCGCCUGUAGCUCUUAUAGGGUUGCUGCCGGUCCCAAGCCCGGGUAAAGGAGGAGGGUUGG